rnacentral:rRNA from 1 species
GACGAACGCUGGCGGCGUGCUUAACACAUGCAAGUCGAACGGAAAGGCCCUGCUUUUGUGGGGUGCUCGAGUGGCGAACGGGUGAGUAACACGUGAGUAACCUGCCCUUGACUUUGGGAUAACUUCAGGAAACUGGGGCUAAUACCGGAUAGGAGCUCCUGCUGCAUGGUGGGGGUUGGAAAGUUUCGGCGGUUGGGGAUGGACUCGCGGCUUAUCAGCUUGUUGGUGGGGUAGUGGCUUACCAAGGCUUUGACGGGUAGCCGGCCUGAGAGGGUGACCGGGCAAAUUGGGACUGAGAUACGGACCAGACUCCUACGGGAGGCAGCAGUGGGGAAUAUUGAAAAAUGGGCGGAAGCCUGAGGGAGGAACGCCGCGGGCGGGAUGACGGCCUUCGGGGUGUAAACCGCUUUCGCCUGUGACGAAGAGGGAGUGACGGUAAUGGGUAAAGAAGCACCGGCUAACUACGUG